GCGCCCUUAGCUCAGCGGAUAGAGCACCGGACUUCUAAUCCGACGGUCGCAGGUUCGAAUCCUGCAGGGCGCG
rnacentral:tRNA from 1 species